UACCGACAAUCUAGUACCAGUUGAGCCAGGAGACCAAACAAAACAGGCAAGCUAGAAGUGGACCGUGAUUAAAGAAAAAAUGGGGUGCCACGAAAAGAAACGGGUUACUGGCCACCCAAGCAGAGCGUUCACGUAACCGACCCACUCCAGGCGGGUACACGCUAACCCUAAAAAGGUCAGGCGAGGAGCGCGCGCUGCACGCAGCACCCUGGCUGGUAGGGGCUCGGGCGCGGGGAGGAAGGAGGAGAGAGGGAGCAGUCGGCGGUGUCGUUCUUGGUAUCGGGGGAAGGGGUAACGGCGGCGGGGAGGGCGUAAACAAGAGAGGAAGGAGAGAGGCAACAGUCGGCGGCGAUGUUGAGGAGGGAAGGGGUAGAAACAGGCACGUCGGCUGGUUUAAUCGAGGCGGGCCUCUAGCGACGGGGGGGUCAAGUAGUAGGGAGGGAACGACGAGACGAAAGUGGUCCCUGCCUGCUUAGGUACGUGGGGGAGCGGAUCUUGGCGGUCCACUUCUUCUACCUGCUCGCGCUCCCAGCCUCCGCCGGUGGUUCCCUGCCUAGACCGUGCCCUAAUGCCCAAAGUUCUGGGAGCACCAACUGGAGGAGAAGCGAAGAAGGAGCACGACGAGGUAGGGGAACCAAGAAGGGGAGAUAUUACACUACGUCGACGUCUAAUGAACACUAAAAGACGUAUUAGUUGAACAGUUCAUCACCACAGUUACCUUCGGCACUGUCAGUAAGACCACUGUAUACGUGUAGUCCAGUCGUGGCGACAACAGUGACCCGUCUUAUCUACUGACCGGUACCCGUCCGAGCCUCGGGAGACGCUUAUCCAUUGACUUAAAAGACUGGUUCCUGGAGAGAUUUGGACAUUUUGCCGGACAUCCGGUCUCGUGUGUCCAAAUGUCAAUCACGAACGUUGUGAGUCGAUACCGAGAAUGUCAAUCACGAACGUUGUGAGUCGAUACCGAAACCGGGUCAACCUAGGUUGUACGUCUCCGUCUGUUGGUCGUUCGUCGGGGAGACAAGAUGUCCGGUCACAAAAACAAUCAAACCUCAGUUUAUUUUUCUACAUAUUUAGAUCCUUAAAGUUAUCCACACUCCACCUGUUUUCUAGACCCCAUAUAGUGAUGUCGUUAUCUUGAUCUCCCUUCCUCCCUCUACCAUGACUAAAAUUGUAUCGUCCUAUCAUAUAUGAUCGUAUCACAUUGUCUCGUACCAAAUACUUGUUGAUAAUUCUAUCGUCCUUAUUCUAAGGAACCAUUAAUAGUGUAGCGAUAAUCGGAGUGAUCUGUCUAUAUGACUCUUACGAAUGUCAACCCUUUAAUCUGAUGUUUAGAAUAAAGAUUAGUUGUCUACUAUAUCAUGAUAAUAAACAGUUUACGCUGUUGUAGUUUUUGUGUUGUCUUUCGUGAUAGACCACUUUCAAACCCGCCAUUCGUUCGUUUACCUGUCUUUACAUUGUCGUACUUGUGAAUUUAAUUGUAGAUAAACAGUCUAUUCGUCUACGUUUGACGUAUGUUCGUAUUAAGUUCACGUUAAAUUGUACACGCAUUGUCUCAAUGUAAAGGAAAUUUGUAUUAUGUGAAUAACACAACGAAUGGAUGAACGUUUCUCUCAAGUAUAGUCUCCUUUACAAGUAACAAAGAUGAGACAAAUACAAAGUCCAAACGUACAAGUCAGUUACCCUUUAACCAUCGUUGAAAGGACGUGAAAAACCUACGUAUCGAAACUAUCAAAACGAACGCCACGGAUUUAAUGUCGGACGGUUACCGUACCUCAAAUCCACAGAUCGGGUACGUAACCCUUCUCAAACCCACCCAGCGCCAACUAUAGCCUGGACAUUUACUUCUUUAAAAGUAGCGUCACCCGUAUUAAUUACCACACCACCCCGAAUCAACGUGCGAGCAACCAGACGGGUUCCGCUUCCUCAAGUGGCACCACCUGUGCGGUGAGGACCUCGCCGAGAAGAACGAGGACGGCGGAUUACCACACCACCCCGAAUCCUAGCGAACACGAGGGUUGGACACCCACGAGCGGAUGGAUCUGUGUUUCUCGAGCGUACGAUGUCUAACCACAGUAGUAGUAACCCCGUGUAGAGAGGCCAGAUGUAGAGAGAACGUUGAACUUUAAUAAGGUAGCUGUAACUAGGUUGGUAGUACAACAAGAAACACUAAUCUUUUGAUAGUUACUGAACACUAUUAUUACAACGAAAUCGACAUCGAGUAACGUCAGAGAUUUUUAAUAAGGUCAUUAGGGAGAAGAAGAGAAGAGAAGAUCAUUGAUAGUUACUGACCACCACUCAAGUCGCCGACGGCGGAGGAGAAGAGAAACUUAGGUCAUUUGGGAGAGCACUCACGUAGUCCCCUACAGCACGGGAGCUGAUGCGACUUCGUGGUCCAAAGAAAGGACCGUCGCUUAAAUACUAAGUCUGGUAAGGUAUUGUUUUACGUAUAUACCGGAGUGCUAGUAAAGUGUUUUACCUUCAUAUCUCCUUAAUUAUAUAUCUUCAAUACUGGUAGCACAUCUCACUAGAGACUUCUACCUAACGUCUAUUCAUCUAAUUGUUAAAUCAUUACUGGGAUAAAGACAACUAUGAAAAAUAAAAUGAUUUAGAAAGCAUAAUUGGUAUUCGUAUUUCCUAUAGUACAACCCAACGUAAUGGUACAUUCCUUACCUAUAGGAUUUGGACUCUUUCAUGGUUACGUCUACUAUCAAAGAAUCCUUAUAGUAGCACAACAAUGUCGUUUCUACCGAUCGACAUCGUGGAAGAUAUCAAAUCAAAUGAUAAUCCCUAUAGUAAGUUAGAGAUUUGAUACAUAAUGGUAAUAUUUAAACCGAUUCCUUAGACAGAGUAAAAUUAUAACGUUACUUCACCAACCCUACCUCUCCCAAAAAAUGAACUGAUAAAAGACUGAUAUAUGGAAAGACAAAACACGUUCAUGCUUCAUAAUCAUUAAAGUCAGACAGGUUAAAAACGUCCCUAUUAACACACUCAGACCAGGUUUGAAAUUCUGUUAGUGAAUUAUGUAAAUACCCUAGUGGUUGAAAACCGCAAAUAACUCUGAUCGAUCCACCCUGGUACUUAAGGAUCUUCUAACACUUGUUUUCAUUUUUUACCUUCCGGGUCGAAUGAAACCAUAAUUCUCUGUUCCUCGACGUCGCAGUACCUAACCUCGCUUCCUCUCUAGGACUGCCGACUUCUACCACACGUGCCCUCCUCGAGCUUCGCCGUGAGAGUACCUCCCUACCGACUACAGUUCCACGAUUUUAGAAUACACAGUUCCCGUAACACUACCGCGCUAGGUACAGAGGGCGCUCGCGAGUCGUAGGGCUUCGGGGUUUCUCCUCCCGAAAUUCCGACCUGUUGUUCGAAGGGACCUACUUUCGUAAAGGGAAGAUUUUGUCUCACGACAACUGUACUUACGUGUUCAAUCAGAACUAUGAUUCUAACAGUACCUUAACGAACUAGAUACGAUCCAGUUAUACAGUCGGUUGGUGAAUUUUUAUUAGUUAACGUAAAGAAGGAGACUUGACACUUUGGACUCCUUACUACUGCGUAGUCGUUAAAUCGUUAUCUCCUACAGUCACUUGUGCUCAUGAGUCAGUUCUCGUUACUUCGGAUCUAUGAAAUCUCACAUUAAAAUAUAUUCUUAUUGAUUUACUGUGAAUUCAGCAACUCGUUAACAACAACUCCAUAACAGAGUGGGAAAUAGACGAGACAAAAUUUGACACCUUACGAUACCCGACCUCGAUGUCCCCUUCUCCCUCCAUUCGUACCUACGUUACUUAUAACAAGCCUAUUUUAUAACAGAAGUCGGUAGACAGAACGAGACCAAAAGGACAUCACACCUCAAAGUUGAGAGCUAGACCAGAUGCACAAUAGCUAAGUCAACGGAGUGGUAGCAUCCUUUAAUAACACAC
rnacentral:rRNA from 1 species